CAGUCCACGCCGUAAACGAUGUGUGCUAGUUGUCGGGCUCUAAGAGUUCGGUGACGCCGCUAACGCAUUAAGCACACCGCCUGGGGAGUACGGCCGCAAGGUUAAAACUCAAAGGAAUUGACGGGGACCCGCACAAGCGGUGGAGCAUGUUCUUUAAUUCGAAGCAACGCGAAGAACCUUACCUACACUUGACAUACUCGUCGGGAAUUUCAGAGAUGAUUUUCUUCGGUUCGGCCGGACGAGAUACAGGUGCUGCACGGCUGUCGUCAGCUCGUGUCGUGAGAUGUUUGGUUAAGUCCAGCAACGAGCGCAACCCCUAUCGUAUGUUGCCAGCAAUCAGUUGGGCACUCUAAAGAGACUGCCGGUGACAAACCGGAGGAAGGUAAGGAUGACGUCAAGUCAGCAUGCCCCUUACGCCCUGGGCCACACACGUGCUACAAUGGUCGUGACAAAGGGUCGCUAAUCUGCAAAGACAUGCUAAUCUCAUAAACACGGCCUC
rnacentral:rRNA from 1 species